rnacentral:rRNA from 1 species
CGGAGAAGGCUAUGUUGGCCGGGCGACGGUUGUCCCGGUUUAAGCGUGUAGGCUGGUUUUCCAGGCAAAUCCGGAAAAUCAAGGCUGAGGCGUGAUGACGAGGCACUACGGUGCUGAAGCAACAAAUGCCCUGCUUCCAGGAAAAGCCUCUAAGCAUCAGGUAACAUCAAAUCGUACCCCAAACCGACACAGGUGGUCAGGUAGAGAAUACCAAGGCGCUUGAGAGAACUCGGGUGAAGGAACUAGGCAAAAUGGUGCCGUAACUUCGGGAGAAGGCACGCUGAUAUGUAGGUGAAGUCCCUCGCGGAUGGAGCUGAAAUCAGUCGAAGAUACCAGCUGGCUGCAACUGUUUAUUAAAAACACAGCACUGUGCAAACACGAAAGUGGACGUAUACGGUGUGACGCCUGCCCGGUGCCGGAAGGUUAAUUGAUGGGGUCAGCGCAAGCGAAGCUCUUGAUCGAAGCCCCGGUAAACGGCGGCCGUAACUAUAACGGUCCUAAGGUAGCGAAAUUCCUUGUCGGGUAAGUUCCGACCUGCACGAAUGGCGUAAUGAUGGCCAGGCUGUCUCCACCCGAGACUCAGUGAAAUUGAACUCGCUGUGAAGAUGCAGUGUACCCGCGGCAAGACGGAAAGACCCCGUGAACCUUUACUAUAGCUUGACACUGAACAUUGAGCCUUGAUGUGUAGGAUAGGUGGGAGGCUUUGAAGUGUGGACGCCAGUCUGCAUGGAGCCGACCUUGAAAUACCACCCUUUAAUGUUUGAUGUUCUAACGUGGACCCGUGAUCCGGGUUGCGGACAGUGUCUGGUGGGUAGUUUGACUGGGGCGGUCUCCUCCUAAAGAGUAACGGAGGAGCACGAAGGUUGGCUAAUCCUGGUCGGACAUCAGGAGGUUAGUGCAAUGGCAUAAGCCAGCUUGACUGCGAGCGUGACGGCGCGAGCAGGUGCGAAAGCAGGUCAUAGUGAUCCGGUGGUUCUGAAUGGAAGGGCCAUCGCUCAACGGAUAAAAGGUACUCCGGGGAUAACAGGCUGAUACCGCCCAAGAGUUCAUAUCGACGGCGGUGUUUGGCACCUCGAUGUCGGCUCAUCACAUCCUGGGGCUGAAGUAGGUCCCAAGGGUAUGGCUGUUCGCCAUUUAAAGUGGUACGCGAGCUGGGUUUAGAACGUCGUGAGACAGUUCGGUCCCUAUCUGCCGUGGGCGCUGGAGAACUGAGGGGGGCUGCUCCUAGUACGAGAGGACCGGAGUGGACGCAUCACUGGUGUUCGGGUUGUCAUGCCAAUGGCACUGCCCGGUAGCUAAAUGCGGAAGAGAUAAGUGCUGAAAGCAUCUAAGCACGAAACUUGCCCCGAGAUGAGUUCUCCCUGACCCUUUAAGGGUCCUGAAGGAACGUUGAAGACGACGACGUUGAUAGGCCGGGUGUGUAAGCGCAGCGAUGCGUUGAGCUAACCGGUACUAAUGAACCGUGAGGCUUAACCUUACAACGCCGAAGGUGUUU